GGACUCCACUGCUAUCGGGGUAAGGCUAAGCCAUGCAAGUCGAAGGCCUCCGGCUCCGGGGGCCUGGCGUACGGCUGAGUAACGCGUGGCCAACCUGCCCUGCGGAGGGGGAUAACCCCGGGAAACUGGGGAUAAACCCCCAUAGGUGACCGGCUCUGGAAAGACCGGUCGCCGAAAGUCCCGGUCGGGGACGCUCCGGCCGGGAGCCGCAGGAUGGGGCUGCGUCCUAUCAGGUAGUUGGUGGGGUAACGGCCCACCAAGCCUGUGACGGGUAGGGGCCCUGAGAGGGGGAGCCCCCAGAUGGACUCUGAGACAAGAGUCCAGGCCCUACGGGGCGCAGCAGGCGCGAAACCUCCGCAAUGGGCGAAAGCCCGACGGGGUUACCCCGAGUGCCACCCUCGUGGUGGCUUUUGCCCGCUCUAAAAAGGCGGGCGAAUAAGGGGAGGGCAAGUCGGGUGUCAGCCGCCGCGGUAAUACCCGCUCCCCGAGUGGUGGAGGCUAUUACUGGGCCUAAAGCGCCCGUAGCCGGCCCGGUGUGUCCCUCGUUAAAUCCACGGGCUUAACCCGUGGGCUGCGGGGGAUACUACCGGGCUUGGGGGUGGGAGAGGCGCCCGGUAUUCCCGGGGUAGGGGUAAAAUCCUCUGAUCCCGG
rnacentral:rRNA from 1 species